CAAUAGCGUAUAUUUAAGUUGUUGCAGUUAAAAAGCUCGUAGUUGGAUUUCGGUUAAGAGCGACCGGUCCGCCGUUUGGUGUGCACUGGUUGGUUUUAACUUCCUGUAGAGGACGUGCUCUGGGUUUAACGACCUGGACUCGGAGUCUACGUGGUUACUUUGAAAAAAUUAGAGUGUUCAAAGCGGGCUUACGCUUGAAUAUUUCAGCAUGGAAUAACACUAUAGGACUCCUGUCUUAUUUCGUUGGUCUCGGGACGGGAGUAAUGAUUAAGAGGAACAGUUGGGGGCAUUCGUAUUUCAUUGUCAGAGGUGAAAUUCUUGGAUUUAUGAAAGACGAACUUCUGCGAAAGCAUUUGCCAAGGAUGUUUUCAUUAA
rnacentral:rRNA from 1 species